rnacentral:ncRNA from 1 species
GCCCCUGGCCGAUAAAAAGGAAGUCACCUGGCCCGGACGUGGAAAGGAUUGACAGAUUGACGGCUCUUUCAUCAUUCGGUUGGUGGCCGUUCUUAGUUGGUGGAACACUUUUUCUGGUUAAUUCUGAUAACGAACAAGACUCCAGUAUGCCAACUAGUUAGGCGGACCUGUGCGGCCAGCGUCCAACUUUUCAGGGAGACAAGGGGCGUUCAAUCACACAAGAUUGAGCAAUAAUGUCCAGGGCCGCACGCGCGC